UCAACGCGGGAAAACUUACCGGGUCCGGACACACUGAGGAUUGACAGGUGACCAAUAUUGUAAAUAUGCUAGUCCUUUCAUGAUUGUGUGAUAGGUGGUGCAUGGCCGUUCUUAGUUCGUGGAGUGAUCUGUCUGCUUAAUUGCGUUUCAGAUAUUGGAGUUAUAUGGGUAGGCUGUUAGUGUCCCCGUAACAAGGGACCUUUCUGGCUGAGCCCGGCUCCUUGAAAGCAACGAACGUGACCGCAGCCCUUUGUUGGGAGUCCACCGCUUCGGCGUUGCUGUUGACUCCCUAACUAAGGGGACCGCCAGGUUUUUUAAAACCGGAGGAAGGUUGCGGCAAUAAC
rnacentral:rRNA from 1 species